rnacentral:siRNA from 1 species
AGGAUAGAGGCGUCUUCUCACGU